GCUGCUGCCUCCCGUAGGAGUUUGGACCGUGUCUCAGUUCCAAUGUGGGGGACCUUCCUCUCAGAACCCCUAUCCAUCGUCGUCUUGGUGGGCCGUUACCCCGCCAACUAACUAAUGGAACGCAUCCCCAUCGAUAACCGAAAUUCUUUAAUAUCAAGAUCAUGCGACCUUGAUAUCCUAUCGGAUAUUAAUCUUUCUUUCGAAAGGCUAUCCCCGAGUUAUCGGCAGGUUGGAUACGUGUUACUCACCCGUGCGCCGGUCGCCAUCGG
rnacentral:rRNA from 1 species